rnacentral:rRNA from 1 species
UCUCCAGACUCCUACGGGAGGCAGCAGUCGGGAAUAUUGCGCAAUGGAGGAAACUCUGACGCAGUGACGCCGCGUAUAGGAAGAAGGUUUUCGGAUUGUAAACUAUUGUCGUUAGGGAAGAUAAAAGACUGUACCUAAGGAGGAAGCCCCGGCUAACUAUGUGCCAGCAGCCGCGGUAAUACAUAGGGGGCAAGCGUUAUCCGGAAUUAUUGGGUGUAAAGGGUGCGUAGACGGAAGAACAAGUUGGUUGUGAAAUCCCUCGGCUCAACUGAGGAACUGCAACCAAAACUAUUCUCCUUGAGUGUCGGAGAGGAAAGUGGAAUUCCUAGUGUAGCGGUGAAAUGCGUAGAUAUUAGGAGGAACACCAGUGGCGAAGGCGACUUUCUGGAUUGUACCUGACGCUGAGGCGCGAAAGCGUGGGUAGCGAACGGGAUUAGAUACCCUAGUAC